rnacentral:rRNA from 1 species
AUUGAACGCUGGCGGCAUGCCUUACACAUGCAAGUCGAACGGCAGCACGGGAGCAAUCCUGGUGGCGAGUGGCGAACGGGUGAGUAAUAUAUCGGAACGUGCCCAGUCGUGGGGGAUAACGCAGCGAAAGCUGUGCUAAUACCGCAUACGAUCUACGGAUGAAAGCGGGGGAUCGCAAGACCUCGCGCGAUUGGAGCGGCCGAUAUCAGAUUAGCUAGUUGGUGGGGUAAAGGCCCACCAAGGCGACGAUCUGUAGCUGGUCUGAGAGGACGACCAGCCACACUGGAACUGAGACGCGGUCCAGACUCCUACGGGAGGCAGCAGUGGGGAAUUUUGGACAAUGGGCGCAAGCCUGAUCCAGCAAUGCCGCGUGCAGGAUGAAGGCCUUCGGGUUGUAAACUGCUUUUGUACGGAACGAAACGGUCCUUUCUAAUACAAGGGGCUAAUGACGGUACCGUAAGAAUAAGCACCGGCUAACUACGUGCCAGCCGCCGCGGUAA